AGCGAACGCUGGCGGCAGGCCUAACACAUGCAAGUCGAACGAAGUCUUCGGACUUACUGGCGGACGGGUGAGUAACACGUGGGAACGUGCCUUUAGGUUCGGAAUAACUCAGGGAAACUUGUGCUAAUACCGAAUGUGCCCUUCGGGGGAAAGAUUUAUCGCCUUUAGAGCGGCCCGCGUCUGAUUAGCUAGUUGGUGAGGUAAAGGCGCACCAAGGCGACGAUCAGUAGCUGGUCUGAGAGGAUGAUCAGCCACAUUGGGACUGAGACACGGCCCAAACUCCUACGGGAGGCAGCAGUGGGGAAUCUUGCGCAAUGGGCGAAAGCCUGACGCAGCCAUGCCGCGUGAAUGAUGAAGGUCUUAGGAUUGUAAAAUUCUUUCACCGGGGACGAUAAUGACGGUACCCGGAGAAGAAGCCCCGGCUAACUUCGUGCCAGCCGCCGCGGUAAAAC
rnacentral:rRNA from 1 species